UACGUAGGGUGCAAGCGUUGUCCGGAAUUAUUGGGCGUAAAGAGCUUGUAGGCGGUUUGUCGCGUCUGCUGUGAAAUUUCGGGGCUCAACCCCGAACUUGCAGUGGGUACGGGCAGACUAGAGUGUGGUAGGGGAGACUGGAAUUCCAGGUGUAGCGGUGAAAUGCGUAGAUAUCUGGAGGAACACCGGUGGCGAAGGCGGCAUCCUGGACCAACACUGACGCUGAGGAGCGAAAGCCAGGGGAGCAAACGGG
rnacentral:rRNA from 1 species